rnacentral:rRNA from 2 species
GGCGGCGUGCUUACACAUGCAGUCGAACGAUGAACCACUUCGGUGGGGAUUAGUGGCGAACGGGUGAGUAACACGUGGGCAAUCUGCCCUGCACUCUGGGACAAGCCCUGGAAACGGGGUCUAAUACCGGAUACUGACCCGCUUGGGCAUCCAAGCGGUUCGAAAGCUCCGGCGGUGCAGGAUGAGCCCGCGGCCUAUCAGCUUGUUGGUGAGGUAAUGGCUCACCAAGGCGACGACGGGUAGCCGGCCUGAGAGGGCGACCGGCCACACUGGGACUGAGACACGGCCCAGACUCCUACGGGAGGCAGCAGUGGGGAAUAUUGCACAAUGGGCGAAAGCCUGAUGCAGCGACGCCGCGUGAGGGAUGACGGCCUUCGGGUUGUAAACCUCUUUCAGCAGGGAAGAAGCGAAAGUGACGGUACCUGCAGAAGAAGCGCCGGCUAACUACGUGCCAGCAGCCGCGGUAAUACGUAGGGCGCGAGCGUUGUCCGGAAUUAUUGGGCGUAAAGAGCUCGUAGGCGGCUUGUCACGUCGGUUGUGAAAGCCCGGGGCUUAACCCCGGGUCUGCAGUCGAUACGGGCAGGCUAGAGUUCGGUAGGGGAGAUCGGAAUUCCUGGUGUAGCGGUGAAAUGCGCAGAUAUCAGGAGGAACACCGGUGGCGAAGGCGGAUCUCUGGGCCGAUACUGACGCUGAGGAGCGAAAGCGUGGGGAGCGAACAGGAUUAGAUACCCUGGUAGUCCACGCCGUAAACGGUGGGCACUAGGUGUGGGCGACAUUCCACGUCGUCCGUGCCGCAGCU